UUAAAGGAAGAGAGUACUUUGGUCAGCUUCCUGGCAUUGCUUAAAAACAAGACCCAAAAUGGACCUUGUAAUAAGACCCUACAGAAUCCUUCUUGAGGAUCUUCAGCCUGGAAGUCUUUUUGUUUUUUUUUUUUAAAGAAAAAACAAAUUUUGACCACUGCCUGACAUUAUACACAAAAAAAUCAAUUCCAGGUAUGUUGUAGAUCUAAGAACAAAAGGCAAAACAAUAAAGCUUGUAGAAGACAACAGGAGAAUAUCUUCAGGACCUGGGGCUUGGGAAAGAUUUCUGCUUUGCUUGCUAGGAGGCUGUCUGACUCCUCCUUUGGCCAACAAUGGAGUUGGCAGGGGGUUUCCAUGCACCCCGUUGCUUUUGUGUUGCUAUGCAGAAGAGUGGAAAUGCUGUCUCUCACUACCACCUUUACGUGUUUCUACCCAGUAUCCUUUUAGAAGAGAUGUUCUUUCUUUUUCAAGGAACGCCUGUCGAAAUGCAUCAAAUGCCUAGUCAGCAACUAGUGAUCCUGUAUGUGCUUCUUGGGAUUCUCCAAAUACUCCAUCAGUGUAUCCUCUCCCCAGGUGAUGCCUUUGUUCUUACUGGCAACCGUGUAAGAGUAUCCAG
rnacentral:lncRNA from 10 species